UCUGUUACAGACUCGAGGACAAGAGUAAAAGACUAUAUGGCUACUUGGUGAUGUUGCUAAAAAUCCUUAUAAAAAUCCUUAUAGUAAUUGCAGCAAGCUCACUGCUGUUUUGUUGCCUUGGUAAAAUAACAGCAAACAAAAUAUCUGUAAAGAAGGCCCAGCGAAUGGAUAAAGUUACAGGUAUCACUGACUCAAACUCUCCACCAAAAAGUCCUGCAAAGCUUCAAUUAGAUGCUGGACCUCUGCACACACCCGGCAUGGCCUCACCUAUUGAAUCAUUGGAAAUCAUCUAUGAUAACAUUCCAAUGUAUAUUAAUGAAGAGA